rnacentral:rRNA from 1 species
UGGGGAAUCUUGGACAAUGGGCGCAAGCCUGAUCCAGCCAUGCCGCGUGGGUGAAUAGCGGCGAUGGUUGACGGUACCAGUAAAGGAAGCACCGCCUAACUCUGUGCCAGCAGCCGCGGUAAUACAGAGGGUGCAAACGUUGUUCGGAAUUACUGGGCGUAAAGCGCGUGUAGGCGGUUCGUUAAGUCGACUGUGAAAGCCCAUGGCUCAACCAUGGAAGUGCAGUCGAUACUGGCAGACUGGAGUCCCGGAGAGGGUGGUGGAAUUCCCAGUGUAGAGGUGAAAUUCGUAGAUAUUGGGAGGAACACCGGUGGCGAAGGCGACCACCUGGACGGGUACUGACGCUGAGACGCGAAGGCGUGGGGAGCAAACAGGAUUAGAUACCCCGGUAGUCC